GACGAACGCUGGCGGCGCGCCUAACACAUGCAAGUCGAACGGAGCUUAGAGAGUUUGCUUUUUAAGCUUAGUGGCGAACGGGUGAGUAACGCGUGAGUAACCUGCCCUAGAGUGGGGGACAACAGUUGGAAACGACUGCUAAUACCGCAUAAGCCCACGGUACCGCAUGGUACUGAGGGAAAAGGAUUUAUUCGCUUUAGGAUGGACUCGCGUCCAAUUAGCUAGUUGGUGAGGUAACGGCCCACCAAGGCGACGAUUGGUAGCCGGACUGAGAGGUUGAACGGCCACAUUGGGACUGAGACACGGCCCAGACUCCUACGGGAGGCAGCAGUGGGGGAUAUUGCACAAUGGGGGAAACCCUGAUGCAGCGACGCCGCGUGGAGGAAGAAGGUCUUCGGAUUGUAAACUCCUGUUGUUGAGGAAGAUAAUGACGGUACUCAACAAGGAAGUGAACGGCUAACUACGUG
rnacentral:rRNA from 1 species